CCAUUGUAGAAAUCCAACCACUGGAGCCCGUUUGCUGUAGAAGUUCGUCCGAAAUCCAUCCGCUAUGGAAGUUUAGACGGAGUCCGAUUCUUGUAGAAGUCUGGAUGGAGAUCGCUUAUCGAAGAAGCUCGGCUGAAGUCCGCAUGUAAUAGAAGUUCGGAAGGAAUUCGUUUACAAUAGAAGCUCGGAUGGAAUUCGCUUACAGUAGAGGUCCGCAUGCAGUAGAAGUUGGGAGUGGACUGCUUGUGGUAGAAGUUCGGUUGAAAUUCAGAAGGUGAUCGACUACCGUAGAAACUCGGAUGGAGUCUGGUCACUG
rnacentral:lncRNA from 1 species